rnacentral:rRNA from 1 species
UACGUAGGGGGCAAGCGUUGUCCGGAAUCAUUGGGCGUAAAGAGCGUGUAGGCGGCCAGAUAAGUCCGCUGUGAAAUCUCGAGGCUCAACUUCGAGCUGUCGGUGGAAACUGUCUGGCUAGAGUCCGGAAGAGGAGAGUGGAAUUCCCGGUGUAGCGGUGAGAUGCGCAGAUAUCGGGAAGAACACCCGUGGCGAAGGCGGCUCUCUGGGACGGUACUGACGCUGAGACGCGAAAGCGUGGGGAGCGAACAGG